AAUUGCGCUUAUUCUUUAACUUUUUGAAACAGCGUAAACUCGAAAAUGAAUAUCUGUGACUUGAUUACAGCGGGAAUACUUAGUGCAAUUGGGGUAUCAGACUGCCUUGAAUGCUUCAAUUGUGUAAAUAUUGCUGACCCCCGGGCGUGUACAAACAGAAUUCAAUGUUAGAAUAGUGAGUCCUGUUAUUUGGAAACGCUCCAUUCUGGCAACGAAGUACGUUACAACAUGGGCUGUCAUAACAAUCAAUACAUGGCAACUGGUUAGAUUGGUUCGCAUGGUCAAGUUGCUCAGUCACGUGUGACUCACAAAGAGGUCAAGAACCCGCACUUAUCCUAAACCAGAGCAUAAUGGAGACAAUUUCGUCGGAGAUCCUUUCGAGAAUACAAUUUGUCUUACAGAACCAUGCGCCAACAGAAAUGGCGGCUGGUCGAGCUGGGAUGGGUGGCAUGGCUGUUUAGUCACUUGUGGAGGGGGACUGAAGCUGAGGGACCUGUACCAACCCGCGUCCGACAUUAUACGGCAAAGCUUGCGAGGGAAGCUCUGAGGCGUUCGCUGUUUGUGCCAAAACACCAUGUGAGUUUAAAGUGUAUGAUCAAAUUUAUAAGAGGAAUGACUAGACA